GCCCCUAUGGCGUAGUGGUAGCGCGUGUCACUUGUAUACAUAUAGUAACUACAAGAAUAUGACAAGGUCUCUCGUUCGAUCCGGGAUAGGGGCA
rnacentral:tRNA from 1 species